AACGCUGGCGGCAUGCCUUACACAUGCAAGUCGAACGGCAGCGCGGGAGCAAUCCUGGCGGCGAGUGGCGAACGGGUGAGUAAUAUAUCGGAACGUGCCCAGUAGUGGGGGAUAGCCCGGCGAAAGCCGGANUUAAUACCGCAUACGACCUGAGGGUGAAAGCGGGGGAUCGCAAGACCUCGCGCUACUGGAGCGGCCGAUAUCAGAUUAGCUAGUUGGUGGGGUAAAGGCCUACCAAGGCAACGAUCUGUAGUUGGUCUGAGAGGACGACCAGCCACACUGGGACUGAGACACGGCCCAGACUCCUACGGGAGGCAGCAGUGGGGAAUUUUGGACAAUGGGCGCAAGCCUGAUCCAGCAAUGCCGCGUGCAGGAAGAAGGCCUUCGGGUUGUAAACUGCUUUUGUCAGGGAAGAAAUCUUCUGGGCUAAUACCCCGGGAGGAUGACGGUACCUGAAGAAUAAGCACCGGCUAACUACGUGCCAGCAGCCGCGGUAAUACGUAGGGUGCGAGCGUUAAUCGGAAUUACUGGGCGUAAAGCGUGCGCAGGCGGCUUUGCAAGACAGAGGUGAAAUCCCCGGGCUCAACCUGGGAACUGCCUUUGUGACUGCAAGGCUAGAGUCACGGCAGAGGGGGAUGGAAUUCCGCGUGUAGCAGUGAAAUGCGUAGAUAUGCGGAGGAACACCGAUGGCGAAGGCAAUCCC
rnacentral:rRNA from 1 species